rnacentral:rRNA from 1 species
AUACGGAGGGUGCAAGCGUUAUCCGGAAUCAUUGGGUUUAAAGGGUCCGUAGGCGGGCUAUUAAGUCAGAGGUGAAAUCCCACAGCUUAACUGUGGAACUGCCUUUGAUACUGGUAGUCUUGAGUUAUAUGGAAGUAGAUAGAAUGUGUAGUGUAGCGGUGAAAUGCAUAGAUAUUACACAGAAUACCGAUUGCGAAGGCAGUCUACUACGUAUAUACUGACGCUAAGGGACGAAAGCGUGGGGAGCGAACAGGAUUAGAUACCCUAGUAGUCC